AUGGAGAAUUGAUGAACGCAGUUCAUCAAUAAACGUUGACUUGUUUUGUUUCGUUCAGUUUUGAGAGAACUAUCUCUCAAGUUUAAAUGUAUGUUCUUUGAAAACUAGAUAACAGUGUAGCUCAUAUUUUUUUAAUUUUAGUUU
rnacentral:misc_RNA from 1 species